rnacentral:lncRNA from 1 species
UCCAACCACCAACCCAUCCUCAUCAUGCCCACUAACCCUGUCCCUCCGUGCCACAUCUACACAGUUCUUGAACACCUCCAGGGAUGGUGCCUCCCUGGGCAGCCCGUUCCAAUACUUUACCACCCUUUCUGGGAAGAAGUUUUUCCUAAUAUCCAACCUGAAUCUCCCCUGCAACUUGAGACCAUUCCCUCUCAUCCUAUCACUGUUUCCUGGGAGCAGAGGCCAACCCCCACCUCACUACAACUUCCUUUGAGGCAGUUUUAGAGAACGAUAAAGUCUCCCCUGAGCCUCCUCUUCUCCGGACUGAACAAUCCCAGUUCCCUCAGCCACUCCCCAUAAGACGUGUAUUCACUGUGCAGCUGAUCCAUUUCCUUCCCCCAUUUCCAAAAAGAUAUUGAGAGACUGACCUCCUGAGCUCCGAAAAUGACCACUGAUGGAAAAGUGAGGCCUUGGCAGCAGUGGGGCUGGGGCUUCCUGCAUAGAGGUGACAUCAGGAUCUGUCUGAUUCCUAGUUAUCCCCUUUGGAGCUUUCAGCAGUAUCAGAUGGUAGGAGCAGAAAUGUUCUUAGCACUGCUUGGAAAACACCCUCAGCCCAUGAUCUUCAUUGGAACACUCCUCUGUCAGAGCAAGAGCUGGAGAGGAUGGCACAUGAGAGGCAUACGUGGGGAAAAAAUCUAUUUUCUUUUUUUAAUUCAGCACUUUGACCUGAAACAUCCAGGACUCAUUUUUAGUAACAAACCCCAGACUAUUAGCCCUGCCAUUUUUCCACUGCUGGAAGAAGACGUGGACUCUUGCUGA